CGCUACGAAUGCACUAGCGAUCCGCCGGCGGAUUUAUUCGCCCUGGUGGGGAGCUUCCCGGAAACGAAAGUCUUCCGGUUCCGGGGGAAGUAUGGUUGCAAAGCUGAAACUUAAAGGAAUUGACGGAAGGGCACCACCAGGAGUGGAGCCUGCGGCUUAAUUUGACUCAACACGGGGAAACUCACCCGGCCCGGACACCGUAAGGAUUGACAGAUUGAUAGCUUUUUCAUGAUUCGGUGGAUGGUGGUGCAUGGCCGUUCUUAGUUCGUGGAGCGAUUUGUCUGGUUUAUUCCGAUAACGAGCGAGACUCUGGCCUACUAAAUAGUUGGCUCAUUGCUUCUGUGGGCACAACUUCUUAGAGGGAUUUUCGGUGUUCAGCCGCACGAAAUUGAGCAAUAACAGGUCUGUGAUGCCCUUAGAUGUCCGGGGCUGCACGCGCGCUACACUGGCAAAAUCAGCGUGCUUGUCCUUCCCCGAAAGGGGUUGGUAAACCGGUGAAAAUUUGCCGUGAUUGGGAUCGGACAUUGCAAUUAUUGUCCGUGAACGAGGAAUUCCUUGUAGGGGCGAGUCAUCAACUCGCUCUGAUUACGUCCGGCCCCCCUUUGGAAAAAAAACAAA
rnacentral:rRNA from 1 species